GCCUAGCUGGCUCAGUCAGUGGAGCAUGGGACUCUUGGUCUUGGGGCUGUGAGUUCAAGCCCUAUGCUGGGUG
rnacentral:tRNA from 1 species